rnacentral:rRNA from 1 species
UAAGACCAAAGCGCAACUAAGCUGUCAUAAGCCCAAGAUGUGCCUAAGACCCCCCUUAAAAUGAUCUUAGUGUCUUUGAUUAAUUUAACUCCACGAAAGCCAAGGUACAAACUGGGAUUAGAUACCCCACUAUGCUUAGCCCUAAAUCUUGAUGCUCCACCGUACUAAAGCAUCCGCCCGAGAACUACGAGCACAAACGCUUAAAACUCUAAGGACUUGGCGGUGCCCUAAACCCACCUAGAGGAGCCUGUUCUAUAAUCGAUAACCCACGUUACACCCGACCGCCUCUUGCCAAAGCAGCCUACAUACCGCCGUCGCCAGCUCACCUUCCCUGAGAGUCCAACAGUGAGCAUAAUAGCCUUAAACCCGCUAAUAAGACAGGUCGAGGUAUAGCCUAUGGGGCGGAAGAAAUGGGCUACAUUUUCUAAAAUAGAAAACUCACGGAAGGGGGCAUGAAACCGGCCCCCCGAAGGCGGAUUUAGUAGUAAAGUGGGACGAUGUAAGCCCCCUUUAAGCUGGCCCUGGGGCACGUACAUACCGCCCGUCACCCUCC